NUCACGCUGCGAACUGCGAUACGUAAUGCGAAUUGCAGGAUUCAGUGAGUCAUCGAAAUUUUGAACGCAUAUUGCACUUCCGGGUUAGUCCUGGAAGUAUGCCUGUAUCAGUGUC
rnacentral:rRNA from 1 species